rfam:Triticum aestivum genome assembly, contig: Triticum_aestivum_CS42_TGACv1_scaffold_342384_4DL
CCCCUGCAAGAUGACGAGCUGAUCUCCUACAUCCUCAAUGGGUUGGACAUGGAGUACCAACCGCUAGUCUCCGCCCUCGACGCUCGGAUCACACCGGUUACCCUUGAUGAGUUGUUCUCAAUGAUGAGAAACUUCGAUC